UCCCAGUUUCAGACACUGAGCGUAGAUA
rnacentral:piRNA from 1 species